rnacentral:rRNA from 1 species
UACGAAGGGGGCACUAGCGUUGCUCGGAUUCAUUGGGCGUAAAGGGUGCGUAGGCGGCGCGGUAAGUCGGGUGUGAAAUCUUGGAGCUUAACUCCGAAACUGCAUUCGAUACUGCCGUGCUUGAGGACUGGAGAGGAGACUGGAAUUUACGGUGUAGCGGUGAAAUGCGUAGAUAUCGUAAGGAAGACCAGUGGCGAAGGCGGGUCUCGUGGACAGUUCCUGACGCUGAGGCACGAAGGCCAGGGAGCAAACGGG